rnacentral:rRNA from 1 species
GGUUAAGCGACUAAGCGUACACGGUGGAUGCCCUGGCAGUCAGAGGCGAUGAAGGACGUGCUAAUCUGCGAUAAGCGUCGGUAAGGUGAUAUGAACCGUUAUAACCGGCGAUUUCCGAAUGGGGAAACCCAGUGUGUUUCGACACACUAUCAUUAACUGAAUCCAUAGGUUAAUGAGGCGAACCGGGGGAACUGAAACAUCUAAGUACCCCGAGGAAAAGAAAUCAACCGAGAUUCCCCCAGUAGCGGCGAGCGAACGGGGAGGAGCCCAGAGCCUGAAUCAGUGUGUGUGUUAGUGGAAGCGUCUGGAAAGGCGCGCGAUACAGGGUGACAGCCCCGUACACAAAAAUGCACAUACUGUGAGCUCGAUGAGUAGGGCGGGACACGUGGUAUCCUGUCUGAAUAUGGGGGGACCAUCCUCCAAGGCUAAAUACUCCUGACUGACCGAUAGUGAACCAGUACCGUGAGGGAAAGGCGAAAAGAACCCCGGCGAGGGGAGUGAAAAAGAACCUGAAACCGUGUACGUACAAGCAGUGGGAGCACGCUUCGGCGUGUGACUGCGUACCUUUUGUAUAAUGGGUCAGCGACUUAUAUUCUGUAGCAAGGUUAACCGAAUAGGGGAGCCGAAGGGAAACCGAGUCUUAACUGGGCGUUAAGUUGCAGGGUAUAGACCCGAAACCCGGUGAUCUAGCCAUGGGCAGGUUGAAGGUUGGGUAACACUAACUGGAGGACCGAACCGACUAAUGUUGAAAAAUUAGCGGAUGACUUGUGGCUGGGGGUGAAAGGCCAAUCAAACCGGGAGAUAGCUGGUUCUCCCCGAAAGCUAUUUAGGUAGCGCCUCGUGAAUUCAUCUCCGGGGGUAGAGCACUGUUUCGGCAAGGGGGUCAUCCCGACUUACCAACCCGAUGCAAACUGCGAAUACCGGAGAAUGUUAUCACGGGAGACACACGGCGGGUGCUAACGUCCGUCGUGAAGAGGGAAACAACCCAGACCGCCAGCUAAGGUCCCAAAGUCAUGGUUAAGUGGGAAACGAUGUGGGAAGGCCCAGACAGCCAGGAUGUUGGCUUAGAAGCAGCCAUCAUUUAAAGAAAGCGUAAUAGCUCACUGGUCGAGUCGGCCUGCGCGGAAGAUGUAACGGGGCUAAACCAUGCACCGAAGCUGCGGCAGCGACGCUUAUGCGUUGUUGGGUAGGGGAGCGUUCUGUAAGCCUGCGAAGGUGUACUGUGAGGUAUGCUGGAGGUAUCAGAAGUGCGAAUGCUGACAUAAGUAACGAUAAAGCGGGUGAAAAGCCCGCUCGCCGGAAGACCAAGGGUUCCUGUCCAACGUUAAUCGGGGCAGGGUGAGUCGACCCCUAAGGCGAGGCCGAAAGGCGUAGUCGAUGGGAAACAGGUUAAUAUUCCUGUACUUGGUGUUACUGCGAAGGGGGGACGGAGAAGGCUAUGUUGGCCGGGCGACGGUUGUCCCGGUUUAAGCGUGUAGGCUGGUUUUCCAGGCAAAUCCGGAAAAUCAAGGCUGAGGCGUGAUGACGAGGCACUACGGUGCUGAAGUAACAAAUGCCCUGCUUCCAGGAAAAGCCUCUAAGCAUCAGGUAACAUCAAAUCGUACCCCAAACCGACACAGGUGGUCAGGUAGAGAAUACCAAGGCGCUUGAGAGAACUCGGGUGAAGGAACUAGGCAAAAUGGUGCCGUAACUUCGGGAGAAGGCACGCUGAUAUGUAGGUGAAGCGACUUGCUCGUGGAGCUGAAAUCAGUCGAAGAUACCAGCUGGCUGCAACUGUUUAUUAAAAACACAGCACUGUGCAAACACGAAAGUGGACGUAUACGGUGUGACGCCUGCCCGGUGCCGGAAGGUUAAUUGAUGGGGUUAGCGGUAACGCGAAGCUCUUGAUCGAAGCCCCGGUAAACGGCGGCCGUAACUAUAACGGUCCUAAGGUAGCGAAAUUCCUUGUCGGGUAAGUUCCGACCUGCACGAAUGGCGUAAUGAUGGCCAGGCUGUCUCCACCCGAGACUCAGUGAAAUUGAACUCGCUGUGAAGAUGCAGUGUACCCGCGGCAAGACGGAAAGACCCCGUGAACCUUUACUAUAGCUUGACACUGAACAUUGAGCCUUGAUGUGUAGGAUAGGUGGGAGGCUUUGAAGUGUGGACGCCAGUCUGCAUGGAGCCGACCUUGAAAUACCACCCUUUAAUGUUUGAUGUUCUAACGUUGGCCCCUAAUCGGGGUUGCGGACAGUGUCUGGUGGGUAGUUUGACUGGGGCGGUCUCCUCCUAAAGAGUAACGGAGGAGCACGAAGGUUGGCUAAUCCUGGUCGGACAUCAGGAGGUUAGUGCAAUGGCAUAAGCCAGCUUGACUGCGAGCGUGACGGCGCGAGCAGGUGCGAAAGCAGGUCAUAGUGAUCCGGUGGUUCUGAAUGGAAGGGCCAUCGCUCAACGGAUAAAAGGUACUCCGGGGAUAACAGGCUGAUACCGCCCAAGAGUUCAUAUCGACGGCGGUGUUUGGCACCUCGAUGUCGGCUCAUCACAUCCUGGGGCUGAAGUAGGUCCCAAGGGUAUGGCUGUUCGCCAUUUAAAGUGGUACGCGAGCUGGGUUUAGAACGUCGUGAGACAGUUCGGUCCCUAUCUGCCGUGGGCGCUGGAGAACUGAGGGGGGCUGCUCCUAGUACGAGAGGACCGGAGUGGACGCAUCACUGGUGUUCGGGUUGUCAUGCCAAUGGCACUGCCCGGUAGCUAAAUGCGGAAGAGAUAAGUGCUGAAAGCAUCUAAGCACGAAACUUGCCCCGAGAUGAGUUCUCCCUGACUCCUUGAGAGUCCUGAAGGAACGUUGAAGACGACGACGUUGAUAGGCCGGGUGUGUAAGCGCAGCGAUGCGUUGAGCUAACCGGUACUAAUGAACCGUGAGGCUUAACCUU